GUUAAACAAAUAUAUAUUCAGCGAAUGUAAGAGUCCGUGGUACGGCAAUAUAUGGAAAUGUGUUUCCAAUUUACUGUCAGUUUAAACAAUGUCUAAGUUACACUCAGGUUAUUCAGAACCAUCAACAUUUGGAUCAGCAUCUGGACAGCAGUCAGCACAAUAUGGCCAACAACAUCACAUUCAACAACAACCAUCACUAUACGUGCCUUUCCCAGCACAAGUCACAAUUUAAACAAUGGCAGUACCAGCUAAUGUUGAAACAAGGAUGGCUCAAUUCAUGUUUCCGUAUCAUCCUUCUGCUAACAUCAAUCCAGUUCGAAUGACAUGUCCAUCUUGUAAACAAGAAAUAAACACGACAACAAGAUAUGAGACGGGGUGUUGCACAUGGCUGUACUGCAUUUAUAUGGCGUUUAUGGGACUGUUUCUGUGUUGCUGGAUGGCAUUUCGUUGUGAUUGUACCAAAGAUGUGAUUCAUACAUGCCCACAAUGUAAAGUUGAAUGUGGUAAAUUUCAACGUCAUCAACUCGCUAGACGUAGUGGACGGCGACGAUGAAUUGUGGGUCUAUAGACGACGCUAUUAUUUGAAAAAAGGCCAA